GCGGCCGCGUGCAAAUUGAGUGAUCUGGUCACCGUGUCAGCUAUGGUGGCUUGAAAGAAAUGCUUUGUAGCCCUUUAAAGGCAGGCUGAUCGGAAGAACUGGAAGACUGCAAAGAUAAAAAGGAACGCUGGCAGAGAAGGGGGGCGAGAGGUGCUGGAGGAAAAAAGCGAAAAAGAAAAUAACAGUGGUGAUGUCAAGACUUGUCAGAGAAACCUGCAUCGUCAGGCUGCAUAACUUCUUAAUCUUGGGAUGAGAAAACAAGCGUGUAUGUGUGUCUGGGGGUGUGAGGUGGGGCACUCACACGUUUCCUGAGCUAAUUUCAAUGCUUAUUCUUAUCUCUUCCAACAGACACUAAUUUAAACGUCAAACAGAGAAAAUAAUUCAAAGGAAUCCUUAUGCUGAGGGAACUGGACAGGCAGGAGACGGGAAAAUAUGAAGGCACCUUCGAUGUCCUCACAAACUGGAACCCGGAGGAAAAGCCAGAGCCAGUUCUGUGUGCCCGUGUGUGGAUGAGUCGGCGCGGUGUGCCUGCCUUGCUCCAGAAUAAGCCUCCAUGGGUUCCUAUGGCAGUGGACACAUCUGGUAAAGUUGUGUGGUAGGUUGAUCUGUGUUCUUUUACAAGAAGGGCUUGAGUUGCUUCCUGGGGGAGAACAUAUCCAGGCACAGUAGGGAGAAUAGGAACCAGGCCCACCAAGCCGACUCCUACAACCAGCUCCUAGUCACCAUAGAAGGCUGUUGAAGGUGCUGACAGCAGGAUGCCAGGCACUCCAGUACGUCUUUUGGCUGAGCACCCAA
rnacentral:lncRNA from 1 species